CCUACGGGUGGCAGCAGUGGGGAAUAUUGGACAAUGGGGGAAACCCUGAUCCAGCGACGCCGCGUGGGUGAUGAAGUAUUUCGGUUUGUACACUCCUUUUAGUAGAAAAUAAAAUGACGGUACCUGACUAAGAAGCACCGGCUAACUACGUGCCAGCAGCCGCGGUAAUACGUAGGGGGCAAGCGUUACUCGGAUGUACUGGGCGUAAAGGGAGCGUAAGCGGCGGCGCAAGGCUGGAGUGAAAUGCAGGGGCCCAACCCCGGAACUGCACUGGAAACUGUGAUGCUGGAGUGCAGGAGAGGUAAGCGGAAUUCCUGGUGUAGCGGUAAAAGGCGUAGAUAUCAGGAGGAACACCGGCGGCGAAGGCGACUUGCUGGACUGUAACUGACGUUGAGGCGCGAAGGCGUGGGGAGCAAACAGGAUUAGAUACCCGGGUAGUC
rnacentral:rRNA from 1 species